GACGAACGCUGGCGGCGUGCUUAACACAUGCAAGUCGAACGGAAGGGCCCUGCUUUUGUGGGGUGCUCGAGUGGCGAACGGGUGAGUAACACGUGAGUAACCUGCCCUUGACUUUGGGAUAACUUCAGGAAACUGGGGCUAAUACCGGAUAGGAGCUCCUGCUGCAUGGUGGGGGUUGGAAAGUUUCGGCGGUUGGGGAUGGACUCGCGGCUUAUCAGCUUGUUGGUGGGGUAGUGGCUUACCAAGGCUUUGACGGGUAGCCGGCCUGAGAGGGUGACCGGCCACAUUGGGACUGAGAUACGGCCCAGACUCCUACGGGAGGCAGCAGUGGGGAAUAUUGCACAAUGGGCGGAAGCCUGAUGCAGCAACGCCGCGUGCGGGAUGACGGCCUCAGGGUUGUAAACCGCUUUCGCCUGUGACGAAGCGUGAGUGACGGUAAUGGGUAAAGAAGCACCGGCUAACUACGUG
rnacentral:rRNA from 1 species